rnacentral:rRNA from 1 species
AUUGAACGCUGGCGGCGUGCCUAAUACAUGCAAGUAGUACGCAGUUGCGACCGGGUGAGUAACGCGUAGGUAACUGCCUAUUAGAGGGGGAUAACUAUUGGAAACGAUAGCUAAUACCGCAUACUAGUAGAUGGACCUGCGUUGUAUUAGCUAGUAGGUAGGGUAAUGGCCUACCUAGGCGACGAUACAUAGCCGACCUGAGAGGGGGAGCGGCCACACUGGGACUGAGACACGGCCCAGACGCCUAAGGGAGGCAGCAGUAGGGAAUAUUCGGCAAUGGGGGAAACCUGACCGAGCAACGCCGCGUGAGUGAAGAAGGGUUUCGGAUCGUAAAGCUCUGUUGGUAAGGAAGCGGUACUUAACCAGAAAGGGACGGCUAACUACGUGCCAGCAGCCGCGGUAAUUC